GGGGGUCCUUAAAUUCCUCUGAUCUACGGUAUCGGUGUGGAUUGGGGGUCCUUAAAUUCCUCUGCUCUACGGUGUGGGUGUGGAUUGGGGGUCCUUAAAUUCCUCUGCUCCACGGUGAAGGUGUGGAUUGGGGUCCUGAGAUUCCUCUGCUCUACGGUGACGGUGUGGAUUGGGGGUCCUUAAAUUCAGUUUUCUUUAAUUUUUAAGUCCAUUUUACUCUAUUCUUUAUAAAUUUUGUCUGUUUUACUCUAUUCUUUAUAAAUUUUGUCUGAUAUUGUCUUUUCUUUAUAUUGUAGCACACAAUUCUUCUCUGUUGUUUAUUGUCCAUAUUUUUUCUCCGUUCUUUAUUCUUUUAAUCCUUUAUUUUCCUCAUUUUGCCAGUUUUUAUUCUUUUUUCGGUCAAACCCAAUCCAGGCCUUCUAUAUUGGCUGUCCUUACUCGCAGAGAUCGACUAUUGGGAGGGACUGAAUUACAAUGUAUUUUGAUGUCGGCUGACCAGAGUCGAAUCAUACGUUUUCUCAUUGAAUUUUAUUUGUUUAAAGCACUCUAUUUGAACAGUGGUAUACUACUGUUGCCUUUAUUUGACGGAGAGCAAGAUAGGUACAAUUUGCUUUCAAUAAAGUAUAUUCUAG
rnacentral:lncRNA from 1 species